AGAACAGUUGCUGGAUUAUAUGGUAAAGAUUUUGUUUAAUUUUGUGAGAAACUUCCAAACUGUAUUCCAAAGUAUCUAUACUAUUUUGUAUUCCCACCAACAAU
rnacentral:pre_miRNA from 1 species